GCAGGUUUUCUUUUUGAGAACGUCAAGUACCAGUAGAACUACAGGAACCAGAUCCAUGCCAGCUCUACUCAUCAGCACGUUCUCUCUUCCAGCUCUGCCUCUUGGCAGAGGAUCUCCAGGAAGAUGAGCACAUCCCAGGCACGACUUGGUGAGCAACACCUGAGCAGUUUAUAGAAGAGGAUCCUAUCUUCUGGAAGAGUAACCAUCAAGGUGUGAAGUUCUGGCUGAAGAAUUCACAUUCUGAUCUGAAGAAAAUGGCAUAAAGGAUGAGCAGAAGUAGAAAUAAUAGAUUUCACACUACACUCUGGAGAACAUCUUUACACUCUCUGAGAUGGGCUUGUUCACUUGGCUGUAAGUGCAGCAUUAGAAUAAUCUCUCCACAUCAGGAAAAGAAAUAUAAUGAUCAUUUCUGGAUAGACACUCCGAGACUAUCAAUAUGAAUGGGAUGUAACAACAGCCAUCUGCAGGUCAGAUAAACCCAUCCAUCAGCACAUCAGCAAGUGGACCUAAAAUAUUUAUAGAAUUUUUAUUCAUGAGAGAAAGAAAACGUUAAUUGGUGAUUAACAUAAGAAGGUAAUAAUGAACUCAAAUCUGUGUAGUGCAGUUUUGUUAUUACUCAUUUUCUGCAGGCAAGAUAAGAAAACAAAAUGAAGAAAUUAGUUUUCAUUUGCCAGAAGAGCUAUUUUGUGUAGAUUACUGAUGAAAUGUAUUUUGAAAUCUGAUGCAUCUGUACAUAUCAAGAUUCAUUUCUCUGAUCUAGUGAAAUAUCACAGAUACUUCCCAAAAAGGGAGCUUUAUGACAAACAGUAAAAUCUCUAUCAAUCACUGUGUAUUCAUAAUAACUCAUAGCCCUGAUACUUAAUUACAGCUAAAUAUAAUUUCUGACUUGAAACAUUUUCAGCAUAGCACUCAGCAUAUUCCUAACUUAAAAUGAAGUUUCUUGUAUUAAAAGUUCAAAUACUUUAAUGGAUUUGAGUCUGCCAUGAAGUUGUCUAUAUAGUCAGCAAUUACUCUAUGUAAAAGUGUGAAAAUAAGUUCAA